AUUGAACGCUGGCGGCAGGCCUAACACAUGCAAGUCGAACGGUAGCACAGAGAGCUUGCUCUCGGGUGACGAGUGGCGGACGGGUGAGUAAUGUCUGGGAAACUGCCCGAUGGAGGGGGAUAACUACUGGAAACGGUAGCUAAUACCGCAUAAUGUCGCAAGACCACAGAGGGGGACCUUCGGGCCUCUUGCCAUCGGAUGUGCCCAGAUGGGAUUAGCUUGUUGGUGAGGUAAUGGCUCACCAAGGCGACGAUCCCUAGCUGGUCUGAGAGGAUGACCAGCCACACUGGAACUGAGACACGGUCCAGACUCCUACGGGAGGCAGCAGUGGGGAAUAUUGCACAAUGGGCGCAAGCCUGAUGCAGCCAUGCCGCGUGUGUGAAGAAGGCCUUCGGGUUGUAAAGCACUUUCAGCGGGGAGGAAGGCAAUGCGGUUAAUAACCGUGUUGAUUGACGUUACCCGCAGAAGAAGCACCGGCUAACUCCGUG
rnacentral:rRNA from 1 species